rnacentral:sRNA from 1 species
CAACAACGAAAGGAGGUGGUCCAGUGUCUCAUUCCAAGCGCUGUCACCUCGCUGAGGCCGCCCGCUAAGCUUGCUUAAGCUUCGGACUUAGGGCUUAGAACUGGCGGCCUGCCGCCUGGGUUCAGCGAGAGAAUGGAAAGGGCGCUCCGAGAUAUUCGGAGCGCCCU